rnacentral:rRNA from 1 species
GAUGAACGCUGGCGGCGUGCCUAACACAUGCAAGUCGAACGAAGCGACUGGAGGAAGUUUUCGGAUGGAAUCCGGUUGACUGAGUGGCGGACGGGUGAGUAACGCGUGGAUAACCUGCCUCACACUGGGGGAUAACAGUUAGAAAUGACUGCUAAUACCGCAUAAGACCACAGUACCGCAUGGUAUAGUGGUAAAAACUCCGGUGGUAUGAGAUGGGCCCCGCGUCUGAUUAGGUAGUUGGUGGGGUAACGGCCUACCAAGCCGACGAUCAGUAGCCGACCUGAGAGGGUGACCGGCCACAUUGGGACUGAGACACGGCCCAAACUCCUACGGGAGGCAGCAGUGGGGAAUAUUGCACAAUGGGGGAAACCCUGAUGCAAGCGACGCCGCGUGAAGGAUGAAGUAUUUUCGGUAUGUAAAACUUCUAAUCAGCAGGGAAGAAAUGACGGUACCCUGACUAAGAAGCCCCGGCUAACUACGUGCCAAGCAGCCGCCGUAAC